AAAGCUCAGUGGUAGAACAACUGUUUUGCAUGCAGAAGGUCCCAGGUUCAAUUCCCAGCAUAUCUG